UACGUAGGGUGCAAGCGUUGUCCGGAAUUAUUGGGCGUAAAGAGCUCGUAGGCGGUUUGUCGCGUCUGCUGUGAAAACCCGAGGCUCAACCUCGGGCCUGCAGUGGGUACGGGCAGACUAGAGUGCGGUAGGGGGAGAUUGGAAUUCCUGGUGUAGCGGUGGAAUGCGCAGAUAUCAGGAGGAACACCAAUGGCGAAGGCAGAUCUCUGGGCCGUAACUGACGCUGAGGAGCGAAAGCGUGGGGAGCAAACAGG
rnacentral:rRNA from 1 species